rnacentral:rRNA from 1 species
UGGGGAAUAUUGGACAAUGGGGGCAACCCUGAUCCAGCAAUGCCGCGUGUGUGAAGAAGGCCUGCGGGUUGUAAAGCACUUUGAGGUGGAAAGAAGGGCUGGAGGUUAAUACCCUCUGGCAUUGACGUUACCACCAGAACAAGCACCGGCUAACUCCGUGCCAGCAGCCGCGGUAAUACGGAGGGUGCGAGCGUUAAUCGGAAUUACUGGGCGUAAAGCGCGCGUAGGCGGUUUGGUCAGUCUGAUGUGAAAGCCCUGGGCUUAACCUGGGAACUGCAUUGGAUACUGCCAGGCUAGAGUGUGAUAGAGGGUAGUGGAAUUUCCGGUGUAGCAGUGAAAUGCGUAGAGAUCGGAAGGAACACCAGUGGCGAAGGCGGCUACCUGGGUCAACACUGACGCU